rnacentral:RNase_P_RNA from 1 species
GGUAGACGGUCGCCGGUAUAUUUGCUAUACUGGAGGAAAGUCCGGACUACACAGGGCGGGGAGUCCGUUUGUUAAAGGCGGAUACUGCGGACGAUAUUCCGCAGGAAGGAAAGUGCAACAGAAAGGAAACCGCCGGGCGAUUGUCCGGUAAGGGUGAAAAGGCGGGGUAAGAGCCCGCCGGGCGUUUAGCGGAAGCGGCGUCGCACAGGCAAACCCCUCCCGUAGCAAGACCAAAUAGGAAGCGAGCCGUUGCCCGCGGCGUUAUCAGCUUCGGGUUCUGGUCGCGUAAGACAGAUGAUCGUCGCGGCAGCUGUCAGUAAUCUGCGGUGAGCCGAACAGAAUCCGGCUUAUUC